UACGUAGGGUGCGAGCGUUAAUCGGAAUUACUGGGCGUAAAGUGUGCGCAGGCGGCAGAGCAAGUCGAGUGUGAAAGCCCCGGGCUUAACUUGGGAAUUGCGCUCGAAACUACUUUGCUGGAGUGUGGCAGAGGAAGGUGGAAUUCCACGUGUAGCGGUGAAAUGCGUAGAUAUCUGGAGGAACACCGGUGGCGAAGGCGGCAUCCUGGACCAACACUGACGCUGAUGAGCGAAAGCCGGGGGAGCAAACGGG
rnacentral:rRNA from 1 species